CGAAUGACGUGGAUUCCUGUAACUGUCCAUGAAAACAGAAGGCAUAGCAGAGUCUUUGAGAGAGAAGGGGCUGGAGGAUUAUGACGACAUCACCACUGAUGACAAUGCCGCUAAAAUGACUAAAGAUGACUUGGAGGAGACAAAGCAUGCCAAUGAAAAAGAACAGGAGUAUGAUGACAUCACCAAUGAAGACAACCUUCAAUUUCCAUCAGUGGUAUGAGUGACUGUUGUUGCUAGGGAUUGAUUAUGAUGAUGUCGGGGCGGAGUCUGAGGAGUGACACAUGAAGAUAUCAGCAGAGCAGAGGACUCUCAUCAGCUGUGGUAGACUGGAGUUCCUAGCUUAUUGAUGAGAUGCCAAAUAUAUUUGAUAGCUUAUGACAAAGUAUGUGAAAUGCUUAUUUUUACAAUGGAUAUUUUGUAGGUUUUAUAAUGCCAUUUUUAUUCCAAAAAUUGAUUUUUAUGUUUUUUAUUGUGUGAUUUUUAGGCCAUGUACUUUUGUGUUUUUUCUUGCAAAUAACAUUCAUAUUCAGCUAAAAGUGUUAAACUUACAGUAAAACAUUAAAAAAAACCUCAAAAUUGUUUGCUGUGAGCAGUAAUAAUUUCACCAUUUCUUUGAAUAACAAAGACUUGUAAGCAAGCAAUAGCAUGAGGAAUACAAUUAUCAGUGAAUAAUUUUUCUGCUUUGUAGAUUUUCUUUGACAUUUAACAUUGAUGCAUUUUAAGCAUAUAUUGCAUAUUAAUCAGUGUGUAACACAUUCCUAACUACCAUUACACUGUUUUUGUACUAUGAGUCAAUUUGGCAGCUGAGACACCCCUGAGUAAAUCAAGAUUAGCAGAGCAGAAGUAAGCCAAUGCCGUCUCCCUUACUAAAACACUGUUGUAACAAGCUCUUAUGAGCAAGAAAAUAUCUAAUACUCACAGCUUCCCAUCUCCAUGCUAAUAUUUGAUUGGAUGACAUUGGAUGAUAUGUUUUCUGUGUGUAUCUUGACUGAACAAAUUCCUUAGUUGGUUGUAUGAACCCCCUACAGGCCGAAAUGUGCAAUUGUCAAAAACCUUUGAAAGCCAAAGACAUGUAAAAUGCUUCUGGACCUGUGAUGUAAACCUGAUAAAUAAACAGUAUUCUUCAAUAA